UCGGUUGAGCGUCCGGCUUCGGCUCAGGGCAUGAUCUCAAAGUUCGUGGGUUCGAGCCCCGCAUCAGGCUCUGUGCUGACAGCUCAGAGCCUGGAGCCUGCUUCCGAUUCUGUGUCUCCCUCUCUCUCUGCUCCUCCCCCGCUCAUGCUCUGUCUCUCUCUCUCUCUCCCCUUCAAAAAUAAAUAAAAACAUUAAAAAAAACCACAAAACUUUAGAAUAAAAAGGAACAAGGUGGGGCUACCUACACUGGCUCAGAAAACUGUUGGACGGUCUGGCCUGGACUGUAACACUGACAAUGUUUAGUAUCUGGCCCUUUAGCAGGAAAACAAAGUUUGGUCACUCCUGGCCGGUGGGAAUUAAAAAGCAAACCAAAGAGCAUUAAAUGUCACAUUCAUGGUUACGUGUCUGUGUGUGCAAAAGUGAAAAGCUGAAUGGGCACCCCGUGGAGGGCCCCGCCCCCACCAGAGCAGGAGGGAGAGAGAUUGGAUAGGCACAGGGCACCUCACCUCUUUUAUUGAAAAGGGGAGGUGGGCAACUGUACCGGUCUGCGGGUGGUCAGAUUUACGCAUCUGCAGCUCAGGGUUUCCCCUGGAAGCCUGGAUGCUCCGAGCAGGUUACCCUCUCUGAGCCUCAGUUCUCUCACCUGUAAAAUGGGCACAUUCAAGUCCAUCUGGGAGGAUUAUUUUUUUUCAACGAUCAGAUGACCAUCGAGAGGUGUUCGGUGUGGGGACAGGUACCUAAUGAAACUCCAAAAAUUGGUAAGGGGGGGGGGG